CAGAUGUGAAGCGUUGACUUAAGAGAUGCCAAGUAACUCAGCAGAUGUCACACAGACGAUAAAUAGCAAAGAUGGAAGUCUUCAUGCCGGAGGCAAUCCUAUAAGACAGCUGAGUUCUGCAGAGCUGGUAGGAGACAGACUUGCUCAGGUGAUAGAUCCAGCCAUGAUACUGACCCUAAGAGAAUGAGACGCUCUGCAGAAGACAGAAGAUUCCUGAAACUGGGAAAGGUGCCUAGAAAUCCUGAUAAGAGUGAAGAAGGAGCUGGCAGAGCAGCCUUCCUCCGCACUAUGAAAGACAUCCAACAGAGAGCAAGUUCCCACCUCACUUCCAGCUUGACUCCUUUUUAUCUCCUAACUGUGGUCUGUGAUGUCUUCAGCAAUGGUAUUAACUAGUUCUGGGUACCUGGAGGCACAGCAGCCAUGUUGAACCUAUGAGGUGAUGAAAAACCAUGCAACUAGAAACCAGAAUGGAAGAAAAGAAGAAGCUGGAUCCUUGACUGAAUUGUCGAUGGGGGAUAGUCCAUCAUCCCAGGGCUAAGACCACCUCCAGAUUUCUUGUUUGGUGAAACAAGUCCUGAUUGUUUACAUUCCCUCGUGUUGAGCUGUCUCUUGCUUGUAGCUGAAAGCAUUUCUAAUAGAUAUUCAGAUUAUCAGCCUUAGCUCCAAGCUAGAAUACUCUAUGGGACCUUAGCUUCUCCAUGAAUUCCUUUGCUCAUCUGUGUAAUGCUCAAUAAAUGUAAAUUGAACCCUGAAUGAGGGACAAUGACA
rnacentral:lncRNA from 1 species